rnacentral:lncRNA from 1 species
CCGUUUCAAAAUUCAUUAACGCCACCAACUCUGGAGGCAGUCCGGUAGGCUAUCCAAUUGCUGGACUCGAAUCAUGAUUCUUGAGAGCAGCCUGGAAAGCCUCGACGUCAGCACCGGAAUUCAACGUUUCAUCCUGUUUUGUCUUCCUCGAUGAGCUUCUUAAGGUCUAGCUCAAUCCCACAAUCGGCGUCGGCUGCUUUAUUGAAGCUCCGACUAUUGUGUCGAUGAUUUUUAUGGUGGCGGUGAUUCCGACGAUUCAGUUUAGAAGGGGUGUGAUUUCGAUGUAUAAGCUUAGGCGGGGGUUGUGAAUCUGACGAUUCAGCUAUAUGGGGUGUGCUUCCGACGUUUCAUCUUAGGCGAUGGGAAUCCGACCACUGGCUCGGUUUGGUAAAUCAUAGGGGUGUGAUUUCGGUUAAAUGGAGAGAAGUCGUCAGCGGCGGCUGUCCAGCGACGACUUUGACUAAGAACUCCAGGCCGACAGUUGGGGGGGUGGGCAACGUAGACGGCGCGAUUCGAAUGGAACCACGAAAACUACUGUCGGAAUCUUCUACGGAGAUGAUGAAGAAAUAGUUCUCUAAUUUUAAAACCAAACUCGCCGGCAGGGAGCCAUGUGUGAGAAUAGGAAUAAGAAUUCCUUGCGAAGAAGGAGUCUUGCGGAGAAGAUGAUAGAUAACCAAUAUUAAAUGCUUAACCGGAAUAUUUGGAUAAUUAAUUUAUAGUCGUCAAUGAAAGCAUGCCACGUGGAUAGGUAUCCGGUGUCCUCAUGCACUGGAGCUUUUUCUACAUGUUUUCUAGUUGGGGAGCAUGCAUGCAUAUUUAUUCCGAUGUUACAUUUCCCCGAAGCUUUUAGGUGGAAGUGCUGGACUAAUUAUACAUCAAUUAACUAUGGUGGAUGUUUACAUUUGCUAAUUAAUCGUGGAGGAUUUUGAUUGGAUGUUCCAUAAUGUAAAAUAAAAUUGAAAAGACUUCCCGGUUGAUUUGGAGGUUGCACGUGUCUAGAUUUUUCAAGGAUUUGGGUUUAAUCCAAUUUAAUAAAAAACAAAUCUGAC